rnacentral:lncRNA from 1 species
UUUUAUUACAAAGAUGUUUAAAAUAGUACACAAGCUGUAGGGGCUGGRGGGCUUAGAAUGGCAGGUUCAGUGUUUUCAAUACAAAAGGCUGAUAUAAUAAUUUCAGUGUAACAUGCAAUAUUCAAUUAUUCAGUAAUGUAGRUCAGGCACAGCAAAUGUCAAGAUAUCAAGUUCAGCAGAGCAAACUUCACACAACACGUCUUGUAAGGUAGGGGCCUAUUUCCAAAAGGGUCUCAAUGUUGUAAACACUGAAAGUGCUUCAUGCAAUAAAUAAUCAAGCACUUGUACAAUAUAAAUACAUGAAAUAUGUCCCAUCUGAUUACUGUCAUUUGUCACUGGUUAGAUAAGAAUGCUGGACAAGCUGCCUCUGUGCCCCAAACUCUCCUGCGUCCCUCCAGCUCUAAAACUCUCCUGACUAAACCUGCUGGCUCUCAUGGGUCUCUCAAACUCACUUGACUCAACAUGCUGGCUCUCAGGGUCCCUCCAAAUGCCUCCUACAAGAAGAUGGUGGGGAUCUUUGCGGAUCACGGUUACCCUGUAAAUUGGGAAACAUGCUAAGAACGUUGCCGGGACAGGCCAAAGAACGUUGCCGGGAGACAGGCCAAGGGAGAACCACUUGGCUGUGUUUUGAGGUUAAUGUCUCUCUGGUGCAUAGGGUUAUGAUUAACACAAUAUGAUCUUCAGGAUUUCUUAUUCCCCUCAGGUAAUGAAUGACAUACAGUUUAUAAAUCAUUCACRAUUUAUUCUAACAAAAGUUGUAACAAAAAAACAAACAUAUUUUGGUGUUCACACGUGUAUUUGUUUGAUUUACAAAGUCUGCACAGGACCAAGAAAAACAUCUAAACUGAAAUUGYGAUGGUUGGCUCUAUUCUUAUGCAUUUCACUGUUCCUGUGCAUGUGACAAUAACACUUGAACUCAGAGGAGAAGGUGGUUCGAGACCUCAAUGCUGGAGGGAGUGGCUGCCUGGAGGGAGUGGCUACCUGGAGGGAGUGGCUGCCUGGAGGGAGUGGCUGCCUGGAGGGAGUGGCUGCCAUGCAGCACAUUCUUCAGCAGUGCUUAUGGUCAGAAGAAAGGGUUACACUGUUGAAAAGGAAAACAAAUGAUGCUUGACAUUCCUUCUGGUCUGUCUUCACUAUCCCAGGUGUUGUCCCAUUAUGUCUAUUUGGAGUGUUUAUCUCCUUUAUGGUGCACAUUGAACACCUCUAACAGCAGACAUGC